ACGCUCGACACCUACGGGAGCAGCAGUGGGGAAUAUUGCACAAUGGGGGAAACCCUGAUGCAGCGACGCCGCGUGAGUGAAGAAGUAUUUCGGUAUGUAAAGCUCUAUCAGCAGGGAAGAAAAUGACGGUACCUGAGUAAGAAGCCCCGGCUAACUACGUGCUAGCAGCCGCGGUAAUCUGAGCGGGCUGGCAAGGC
rnacentral:rRNA from 1 species